rnacentral:rRNA from 1 species
CGCAAGUCUGAUGCAGCGACGCCGCGUGGAUGAUGAAGGCCCUCGGGUCGUAAAAUCCUUUUCAGGGGGACGAGGAAGGACGGUACCCCUGGAAUAAGCGUCGGCUAACUACGUGCCAGCAGCCGCGGUAAGACGUAGGACGCAAGCGUUAUCCGGAUUUACUGGGCGUAAAGCGUCUGUAGGCGGUUCGAUAAGUUGGGCGUGAAAGCUCCGGGCUUAACCCGGAGAGGUCGUUCAAUACUGUCGAACUAGAGGACAUCAGAGGAGCAUGGAAUUUCCGGUGUAGCGGUAAAAUGCGCAGAUAUCGGAAGGAACACCAGUGGCGAAGGCGGUGCUCUGGGGUGGGCCUGACGCUGAGAGACGAAAGCUAGGGGAGCGAACAGGAUUAGAGACCCUGGUAGUCCUAGCCCUAAACGAUGGAUGCUAGGUGUGGGGCCGAGAAGGCUCUGUGCCGCAGUUAACGCGCUAAGCAUCCCGCCUGGGGAUUACGGCCGCAAGGCUAAAACUCAAACGAAUUGACGGGGCCCCGCACAAGCAGCGGAGCGUGUGGUUUAAUUCGAUGCUACACGAAGAACCUUACCUGGGUUUGACAUGUACGUGGUAGAGAAGCGAAAGCGGAUCGACCCUUCGGGGAGCGUACACAGGUGCUGCAUGGCUGUCGUCAGCUCGUGCCGUGAGGUGUCGGGUUAAGUCCCGUAACGAGCGCAACCCUUGCCCUUAGUUACAAGUGUCUAAGGGGACUGCCGGCGGUAAGCCGGAGGAAGGUGGGGAUGACGUCAAGUCAGCAUGGCCCUUAUAUCCAGGGCUACACACACGCUACAAUGGUCAGUACAAAGGGCAGCGAAGCCGCGAGGUGAAGCGAAUCCCAACAAAGCUGAUCUAAGUUCGGAUUGCAGGCUGCAACUCGCCUGCAUGAAGCUGGAGUUGCUAGUAACCGCGCGUCAGCUAUAGUGCGGUGAAUACGUUCCCGGGGCUUGUACACACCGCCCGUCACGUCAUGGGAGUCGGUAACGCCUGAAGCUGGUAGUCU